UAUGAAUAGGAAGUUCAGAUGCAAAAGAGAAAAAUUCUUAUGCAUACUUGGAUUCUGUCAACUUCCUGUUAGGUUAUGCACCAGCAAUGACUAUAAUGAUCCCAAAAUAAAGCCAUUAUAGUUUGUGUUAGUUCGGCAUUCACGAAGUUUUCUUCCUCUUCGUAGUGCAGGUGUGAAAAGCUCAUCUGUCUUAUAAUAUUUUCUUUUCUAAAUUCUUUUAAUAUGUCCUACAAAAUUCCU
rnacentral:lncRNA from 1 species